rnacentral:rRNA from 1 species
AUGAUGUGGUUUAAUUCGAUGCAACGCGAAAACCUUACCCACCUUUGACAUGGCAGGAAUCCCGAAGAGAUUGGGAGUGCUCGAAAGAGAACCUGCACACAGGUGCUGCAUGGCUGUCGUCAGCUCGUGUCGUGAGAUGUUGGGUUAAGUCCCGCAACGAGCGCAACCCUUGCCAUUAGUUGCUACGAAAGGGCACUCUAAUGGGACUGCCGGUGACAAACCGGGAGGAAAGGUGGGGAUGACGUCAAGUCCUCAUGGCCCUUAUAGGUGGGGCUACACACGUCAUACAAUGGCCGGUACAGAGGGUAGCCAACCCGCGAGGGGGAGCCAAUCCCACAAAGCCGGUCGUAGUCCGGAUCGCAGUCUGCAACUCGACUGCGUGAAGUCGGAAUCGCUAGUAAUCGCGGAUCAGCAUGUCGCGGUGAAUACGUUCCCGGGCCUU